GCGGAUGCAUGGGCAAAGCAUUACACAGCCGCUCCAUGGAAGUGACAAUGAGCCUUGUCUUUCACACGUAACUCCAGGAACCAGGGGAAACAAAACCAAUUCCACCCAGAGGUAAAUAAAAAUCAAAGAGCGUUCGAGGCAGCCGCAUUGACUCACCUUGCAGACAAGCAAGCAGAGCCGCAGAGCAGUGACCCGUGCCCAGCGCCUCGCAGCUAGAGCUGGAUUGGAAUCCAGGGCUUUGCAGGCUUCCUGCUUCACUCAAUCCUCUUUCUGUUGCCUCUGGCCUCAAGGUGUUGGCCUGGGAGGAAGUAGCAGAUUAAAUUCCAUGGGCACGAAGUCCGUAGCUGACGAAUACUUAAUAUGUUGCAGUUUCACAGUGAAAGUUGGCAAGUCCAGGGUGGGAACAUGCCCCAAGCAGCUGAGUCUUCUGGAUUUUACUUCUGUUCUUUGCCUCUCAAUUUUUGAUUUUGUUAUAUAAAAAGCAAAUCAGUAACUAUUGCAUUAUAUUCUGCAGUGACUCAACAGCGACACUUAAUUCAGCCAACCAAGGUUUACUGAACUGCUCGUGGUGCCGGGAACCGUGCUGGGAUAGGAUACAGGGACCAACCAGUCCUGAUCAUUAGCUUAGCCAGAGAGGUAAACUGACUGACAAUCAAUCUGCCAGGGAUCAAUUACUAUGGAAGCUCAUAGUGUGGGCCCCUAACCCAGACUGUGGGUCUGAGGAGGUCUCCUGGAGGUAGUGCUAUCCUAACAGAGACCUGAAGGGUACUUGGAAUCCAGCCACAGAAUACUAUUUACCAUCUCAUUUUACUCUCAUGAGAAUUCUCCCCACUGUAGGCAGGAUGGGUGUUGAUUUAAAAGAAAAAAAAAAAAGUAGCCUGGCGGGGUGGCUCACGCCUGUAAUCCCAGCACUUUGAGAGGCCAAGGCGGGCAGAUCAUCUGAGGUCAGGAGUUCGAGACCAGCCUGACCAACAUGGAGAAACCCCAUCUCUACUAAAAAUACAAAAUUAGCCGGACAUGGUGGUGCAUGCCUGUAGUCCCAGCUACUUGGGAGGCUGAGGCAGGAGAAUCGCUUGAACCCGGGAGGCAGAGGUUGCGGUGAGCCAAGAUCAUGCCAUUGUACUCCAGCCUGGGCAACAAGAGCGAAACUCCGUCUCAAAAAAAAAGUAAACAGAAUAACAAACUUAAGGGUGGCCAGCAUUAGAGCUGGAAUGGAACCCUGAUGUCCAAUGAGCUCCCUGUAGAGUGGACUUUGUACAGGACCAUGUUCUCCUAAAGUGACUAGAGAGCAGGAGCCACCUGUCACUCAAUGCAGCAGCAUUGGACCCUCCCAGCCAAACCCCACUCCCACCUCCCAUCCUACUGGAGUCUCUUUCCCUUCGUCUUGGUCUACUUGAGUAGAUAGGGUCCUCGUUGGUGCAAACAAUCUGUGAUUUAUGACCCAGAUAGUCCUGCCAGGUCACAGAGAAGUGUACUCUGCACCCAGCAGUCCUCAAGACAGACUUAGGCUCUCGGUUCCUGCAAGGCACCCCUAGAGGACAGCCUCUCAGCAGUACCCAGCACCCUGCACAGGGCCACUUUUGUAGCCUCCACCUGCCUGCUCACUCCCUUUUUCUCUCCUUGGCCUUCUCCACCCUGAAUGCUUGUGCAAGCAUGCUCACUCUCCUUCCCCAGCCCCUCUGCACACACUGACACACACUCAGCUCCCAGCUUUCAUCCUCUCUCCCACCUCUUGUGGUGAGUUCUGAGCCUCUCCAUGGCCAUCCUCCCAGCCCAGGCCAUCCUCCCAACCCAGCCUCUCCAUGGCCAUCCUCCCAGCCCAGACCAUCCUCCCAGCCCAGCCUCUCCAGCCCAUGGCCAGCCUCCCAGCCCAGCCUUUCCAUGGCCAUCCUCCCAGCCCAGGCCAUCCUCCCAGCCUAGCCUCUCCAGCCCGUGACCAGCCUCCCAGCCCAGCCUCUCCAGCCCAGGCCAUCUUCCCAGCCCAGCCUCUCUAGCCCAUGGCCAUCCUCCCAGUCCAGCCUCUCCAUGGCCAUCUUCCCAGCCCAGCCCCACCUCUCCAGCCCAUGGCCAUCCCUCCCAGCCCAGGUCAGGCUCUGAGCCCAGGCUCUCCAGCCCAUGGCUAUACUUCCAGCCCAGCCUCUCCAUGGCCAUCCUCCCAGCCCAGGCCAUUCUCCCAGCCCAGGAGUAUUUCUGGAAAUGCUCCCAGCCCAGCAUUUCCAGAAAAGGAAAAUACAGCCAAUGCUGAGAGUCUCAAAGGUCACUCAGUUCAGACCUGCAGAAAUGUUUUUGUUUUAUUUUUUUACUUGGGAUCUUUCAACCAGUCAGCCUGAUGCUCUUGUUUGAUUUCCAUGUUUGUUGUAGUGAAAUACUGAUAAUCAAAAAGUUAUUCUACAUGAUGAGCUGUUCCUCCUACUUCUUUACAGUUUCUCCAUUUUCCAAAAUUUCUACAAUCAAGAUGUAUUGCUUUUAUAAUCAUAAAAAGUUAAAAUGUUAACAUAUUCUGACAGAAAUAUAGGAAUUAUUAAGACUUUUUUCUAGGUGGUGGAAUUAUGGGUAACUGUUUUUUCUUUGUUCUGUAUAUUUCCAAAUCAUCUAAAAUCAACAUAUAUUGCAUUUAGGUUUGUGUGUGAGGGGUUUUUUCCCCCAUUUUUAAAUUUGUGUGUGGUUUUUUGUUUGUUUGUUUGUUUGUUUUUUUCUUUUUUUCAGAUGGGGGAUCUUGCUAUGUUGUCCAGGCUGGUCUCGAACUCCUAGGCUCAAGCAACCCUCCCAUCUCAGCCUCCCAAGCACCUGGUGAGGUUUUUCUCUAAAAAGGAAAAACAUGUGGAAGACAAUCAGAGAUGAUUUUUGAGUAAUGCAGAACAACUCCAAAAGAAUAAGCAGAAUGAAUGCUCAUAAGGUGAAAGCAUUUCAGAAAACCUAUUACAAGCAACAAUGGAAGAAAAUUGAUUGAAACUGUGCCUACCUUCCCUAACACUCUCCACCUUCAUCUGAGGUUUGUGAUCCACAGACUCAAGCCAUCAUGGACCACGUCUUCAUAGUCCCACACUAUUGUCUGCAUGAUUUAUACAAAUGCAAAGCCUACCAUUACUUAAAUGGUAAAAGAAAUACAGGAAGCAGAGACUGUGCUAUAUCAAAAUGUAUCUUUCUCUACUACCACUGUUUUGCUUCGUGCUGUGCAGAACUGCCACUAAGCAUUUUCAUAGUCGAGAGAGCCAGAGACACAGAAAGAGAGAAAUUAUGGUCAAAUUAUGGCACCAUACCAUUAACGUACGAGAGAUUGGUGCCGCUAGUGUAUGAUUACUGCUUUUAAUAUGAUUUUCGCUUUCUAUCUUGUAAAAUACUGUGAAUUUACUGCUGAGCCUGUGUACUGCUACUCUCCCAAAGAGAAAAUUACUUCUUCCAGAGGAUCUGCUUGCACAAGCGUAAAAUCUUUGCAGCUCUCUGAGCAGCAAGAGAACCACAUCAGACUUGAUAUGCUGAUUUGGCUCUUUUGAGUUACCUGUUCCAGAGAAUUUUGGGCAAGGAUUUUUCCAAGAUGUCAUUUUCUUUAUAUGUUAUUUUCUUUAUAUUUGUAUCCAUUCACAUCAUCAAGUGUCUUAUUGAGUACCUCCUAAUUGCAAAUGAUCUUAGUGGCUGCUGUGAGAGACACAUGGAUUCUAAUACAGGGUGCUUGGUUUAGAGAGACUUGUAAGCACCAACUGAUAUCGAGGGGGAAAACAAGCAGAGGGAACAGGAAGUGCAAAGGCCCUCAGGAAGAAAUGAGCAAGGCCAACAGGGCUGGGAAGAUGAAGGUAGAGGAGAUGAGAAUAAAGAGGUGGGUAGGGGUGCGGUCUUGUAACAUUUGAGGAGCUGAAUUAUAUUCUAAAUGUGAUAAGAAGCCAUUUGAAAGCUUUGAGCAAGAGAAUAAGGGCAUCUGAUUUUUUUUUUUAUCCCUCUAGCUAUGAGAAUAGGCUAUAGGGGACUAAAAGCAGAAGCGAGUAGGCCAGUUAGUAGGACGCAACUGCAGACAUUUAGGCUGGAGAAGACAGUGACUUGGACGAGGGUGGUGGUGUGAAGGUCACUGAGGUGUGUGGAGACUGGAAGGCACAGAGUCAGAGGACUUGUCUUCUAACUCCAUGAUACUGCUCCAGAUGAUGAACAGGCACUCAGAAGGAACCCAAUAAACAUGUCUUCCUGAAUGUAUGGCUGAA